rnacentral:rRNA from 5 species
GACCCAACAGCUAGCCUCC